rnacentral:rRNA from 1 species
UACGAAGGGGGCGAGCGUUGUUCGGAAUCACUGGGCGUAAAGGGCGCGUAGGCGGUUCGUACAGUCAGACGUGAAAUUCCUGGGCUCAACCUGGGGGCUGCGUUUGAUACGUGCGGACUUGAGUGCGGAAAAGGGUCGUGGAAUUCCCAGUGUAGAGGUGAAAUUCGUAGAUAUUGGGAAGAACACCGGUGGCGAAGGCGGCGACCUGGUCCGAUACUGACGCUGAGACGCGAAAGCGUGGGGGAGCGAACAGG